GAUGGGCGUGGUGGCAGGCGCCUGAAAUCCCAGCUACUCAGGAGGCUGAGGCUGGAGAAUUGCUUGAACCUGGGAAGUGGAGGUUGCGGUGAGCCGAGAUCGUGCCACUGCAUUCCAGCCUGGGCAACAAGAGUGAAACUCCAUUGCUCUGUCACCAGGCUGGAGUGCAGUGGCACGAUCUCGGCUCACCGCAACCUCUCCGCCUCCCGGGUUCAAGGGAUUCUCCUGCCUCAG
rnacentral:sRNA from 1 species